AUGUACAUAUGUAUUUACUUAUGUACGUUCAUAUGUAUGUAUGUGUGCAUGUAUGCAGACGUCCGCAAAGGUAUUCAUACAUGUACGCAUGCAUGCAUGUUUGCAUGUAUAGAAAACUAGCUCCGGCCUUAAAAUAAAUUCGUUUAAAAUAAAUUCUGUCUUAGAUCUUGGAAAAUGAAUUUUAUGCCCAUCGGAUGGAAAAAAGCAUCAAAGUUUUUCGCGAUUUUUCCAUACAUGCGGGUGAAAUUAGCUGGAAGCCAGCCUUAACGUGCAUCUUCGUCAAAUAAGAUCACAAGUCGAACCGCUGGCAGCUUUUGAUCCAUUUUUCAAGUGUAUAAAAAGUUUACAAGUGAAGGACAAGCCCUAGCUGUUAACGCAAAUGCCAAACACCUGAUAAAAUGCCGUUGCUAGACCCCCAACAACUGCAGAAAUGUUUUGUUUUAUAUGUUUAGUUCUUACUUUUUAUGGCUAAAGUUUCCUUGGAAAUGGGCGCAUCGAAUAACGAACGAUUCGCGUAUCUGUUAUAACAACCACACCAACAAGCACACACACACACUCACACAGACACGCACUCACACAGCGAUCAACACCAAGCGUGGUGCGAACUGUCAGCAGAAAAUUGUUGUGAAAUUGGAACUGGAGCUGGAGCGGGAGCGGAACCAGGAGCGGUAACAAAAGCCUCAAAUUAUAAUUACAACAUCAGGCUUUGGGCUUGGCAAACGCUACAACAACAAAAACAACAACAGCAACAACAACAACAGCA